rnacentral:rRNA from 1 species
GACGAACGCUGGCGGCGUGCCUAAUACAUGCAAGUAGGACGCACUUGCGAAUGGUUGAGUAACGCGUAGGCAACUACCUAUUAGAGGGGUAUAACCAUUGGACACGAUAGCUAAUACCGCAUACUUGUAGAUGGACCUGCGUUGUAUUAGGUAGUAGGCUGGGUAAUGGCCUACCUAGGCAACGAUACAUAGCCGGGCUGAGAGGGUGGUCGGCCACACUGGGAAUGGGACACGGGCCAGACGCCGACGGGAGGGAGCAGUAGGGAAUCUUCGGCAAUGGGGGGAACGCUGACUGAGCAGAGGCGCGUUAGUGGAGGAGGUUUUCGGGUCUUAAAGCUCUGUUGUUAAGGAAGCGGUACUUAACCAAAAAGGGACGGCUAACUACGUGCCAGCAGCCGCGGUAAUAC